UAGCAGAGCUCUUGUAUCGCUAAGGCCACAGGGAAAUGACCAGUGAUCACACAUCCUCACCUCGGCCGGGCCACUGUGAGGAGUGGUGAUCUUUAAAAACACCAUCUAUCACAUACUCACUCAGACCACUGUUCCUCCAGAUCGGCACGGGCAGUGAGAUGUGGGGUUCCGCUCUCGGUCUGGACUUCGCUGGACACAGGGCACAGGCAGCUCUGUCUAGGAAAAAGAUCCCCUGCCUUUCAGAAAAAAUAGAGAAUCCAGUACCCAAUAAUGCUGUGAAUUUAUGGCUGGGUCACACCACGGCGUAAUUACAAAGUGUAACCACCAAGAGGCUGGUGCACAACCUUACAUCUAUUUCCCUAUGAUGGACCCCAGCCUGCAUCGUGUCUUCCAUCCAGGAGCCCAAGAGUCUAGCACCAUGGAUUCUGCUGAGUCUGUGAAGAUUCUUAGAUUUUCUUGAUCACAGCUCGGAGUUCUUCAUUCGCUUGUUCUAGGUUCCCUGAAUUCAAAAAGCAAGAGGGGAAAAGGAGCCUUGCUUCUCUCAGCCAGCUCUCCUGUCUGUUCCCACCAGGGCUGCUUCCUUCCCAGCCUGGCCUGGAGCAGAGCCUUCAGAUGAGACGGGGCUCCCCUCCCCCAGGGCUCUCCAGCAGAGGAG